rnacentral:misc_RNA from 1 species
CCAAUUUUUCCGGAUGCACUGCCCCGAGUACAAGCCGUGCAGUCUCCGAGGGUGCUUCGUCCACUGCAACCGAUUACACUUGGCUUUCUGAUGGCCCCUCGCAUAUGCCGCUGAACGUGUUCUGCAACCAGGCUGACGGCACCCCUGCGUUCUGCAACAUGAACGAUACUGUAAACAACAGCUUCCAGCAGCCCGCUUCAACUAGUAGCGGCAGCUACAUCGCCGUUCCCAGCACAAGCAGCGCAGGCACAGAGGAAGAAGCAGGCAUUGCGGAAGACUACGCGAGCAGUUGGACUCCCGAUCACACCUGUAAUGCCGAAGAAGUCGAGCAGUACUUCAAGACCCUGGGCAAUACUCCACUUAACGCGGAGGUCCGGAGCUGACGUCCAUACAUGUGAUUUCAUGCAUACACAGAUGACACCGAGAAUGGAAGCGCCGCCUUCCAACUUCAGAUCUCCAGCACGAGUGUCGAGGAAGCAAUGCCGAGUACGAGCGAUGGAGAUAUUGAAGCAGCACCAGACUUCUUGGGAACCGACAUGAGCAGAAGGAGCAGACGCUGCUGCAGCAGUUGCAGUAGCAACGAUUUUUCGAGAACCCGUGCAAGUAAGGUGCUCAAGGCAAAGGCGUCAGCUGUUCAGGAAGAUGGCGCGAGGAAUGCUGCUACUGACUCCACGGAAAGCGAACAGUGCAAAGAUAUCAACAAUGGGCACGGCGACGUCGACCGCAGC